ACACGUGUGUGGGCUGAGGCGCCGGAGCCUGGAGGGGGAACCGCGCGAUGCGGCUGCUGCGCUUCAUCUGUUCCCGGGCGCCGCUGGCUUGCUUCCCUUGUCAGCUGUGUGGGGACUGGCAGAGGGUGUGAGAGCGGGAAACGACCGGAUGAGCGGCGGGGAGCGUCCUGGGUGAGGAGGAGGAAGUCUGGUCUUAGGUGUGAAGGGUGCUGACGCGUUCCGGCGCCUCGCAGUGUCACUCUCGGCUUCUGAGUGUUGCCCUCCGCCGGAGCGGGUUUUCCUCAGCUGUGAAGCGCGGCUGCGGCCUGCCUGGGCUUUCCCCCGCCGGGGCGGUUCCGACGCCCGAGCCCAGCGGGCUUGGGCCUACCCUGUCGGGCCAGGCUAGUCGCUCCGGGGCUGGGAGUUACGGCGCCGGGGUUGGGGCGGAGAAGGCGAACUGGUUCAACUCGACCCGAUUAAGCAAGCGCAGCAGCGUAUGUUCUUGAAUCAUAGUAUUUCAUGUAAACAUUUUGAUUUAAGAGGAACAAAAGGGAAAAUAUUAACCGUUUUCAAGCAUCCAAAGGCGAAAUGCUUCAUCUCUGGGGUGAAGUAGAGGAGUAGCCUCUGAGGAUGAGUUGCAGUCGUGGGUGCAAGAAGCAGCGCUGAAGCAGAGUGCAGCGCUGGAAUAGGGCGGGAUGGAAUGGCGUGGGCACUUCAGACACCCGCGAGGAGUCCACGGCGGAACAGAUCCUGAGAUCAUUUUGAAAAAUCACUUUGUCUUCAGUUUGGUAAAAGUUUGGAGAAGGGCAGGACUUGGAAGACCAGCUUAGGGAGACUAGAUAGUAGCGACCUCCAAGGGAGAAAGUGGACAGAAAGAAUAUUUAUAUUUUGUGCCACACAACUCCGGGGAUAUUGUUUUCUCCUUUAAUUUUACUCGAAAAAGUAAUAAAUGCACAUGCUAAAAAAUUCAGAGCAUACAAAAGAAUAUACAAAGACUAUUAAGGUGUGGGAUUGUAGAGGGUUGAAUAAGAUCCCCCAAAAUUCACGUCCACCUAGACCCUCACAAUAUUAACUUAUUUGGAAAUAGGGUUUUUUGCAGAUGUAAUUAGUUAAGAUGAGGUCAUGCUGGUAUAGAGUGAGCCCUAAAUCCAAUGGUUGGCGCCCUUAGAAGAGGACACAUAGAUAAAUGAGCACAGAGGGAAGAAGGCCAUUUGGAGAUAGAAGCAGGGAUUGGAGUGAUGCAACUGGAAGCCAAGAAAUGCCGCAGAAUGCCAGGAGCCAGCACAAACUAAGAAAAGGCAAAGAAGGAUUAUUCCAAAGUGCCUUCCGAAGAAGCUUGGCCGUGCCAAAAACCUGAUUUCAGACUUCUAGCCCCCAAAACUGCAAGAGAAUAAAUUUUGUUGUUUUAAGACA